UGGGCAAGGCAUGACAGUGCACCUCUUCAAGUGUAGAUGGUUUGAUACUAGGCCGCAGAGCAUGAAGACCGAUCAGUACGGAAUAUUAUCGGUGAACACUGCUACAAGUUCUUACGAAGAUGACCCGUUCGUUUUUGCCACAUCAGUAAAACAAGUGUUUUAUCUUGAUGACUUUGCUAAGGGUGACGCGUGGAAAGUAGUCAACCUUGUGCACCCUCGAAACAUUUACCGGGCGGCUACACUUGGAGAGGCCGAAGACGAGGAAGAGGAUGUUGCGUAUCAAGAGCCCAACGCAAUAGGUAUUCCUAACUCCUCUACCGUUCGCCUUAAUAAUUUUAAAGCGGGUCGUUCGGUGCGAAUUCGUGAUGAAGAGCCAAGGCUUAUUGAUGUUGAUCCAAAUCAAUAAACAGACGAAGACUCUGGCGAUGAGGAAAGACAUAUAUUACCAGAAAUUAAUUCUGACACCGAAGAAGACUCAUCGGAUGAUUCCGAUUACGAGCCUUAGUUUUAAUUUAGAGGACGUUAUCCAAUAAUUUGUAUAACUAAAGACCUUUUCCUUUAUAGUUUACAUAUGUUGAAUUCAUAUUUCAGUUAUUUUAUAUGAAUUUUGGUGAUACAUGAUGAACAGAGAGUUAGUAUGGUUUACUAAUAUCGUCUGUUUUUUUUAAUGUAUUUUUUUCCUUAAGCCGACGAAAUACACCAUAAUUCGUCGGCUAAAACAAUCUUAGCCGACGAAUUAUAGUGUAUUUCGUCGGCUAAACCCAUCUUAACCGACGAAUUAUAGUGUAUUUCGUCGGCUAAAGCCAUCUUAGCUUUAGAGUUUUAGCUAAUAUUUCGUCGACGAAUAACCUAAUAUUUCGUCGGCUUUAGUUAUUUUUUAAUUUUUUAAUUACAUACUAUAGCCGACGAAUACGUUAGGGUAUUCGUCGGCUAAACUCUAAAAUUUUUCUAUUACCUACUAUAGCCCUAUCUUCGGUUGUUAUUUUCCGUAAAAUUUUUAGACGACUUCUUGCGUCUCAUCGGUUUGAAACUAUUUUCAGUUGGUGGUCCGGCCAAAAUACGUAAUUUAGACGGUCGAACGACCUUUUCUAUGCGUUUAGGGGUUUGACUUACGAGAUUGACCGUCCGGAUCGAGCCCCUAUUCUCGUCGGAUCAAGUUGAAUUUUUUCCCAUACAUGUAUUUUGUCAUGAUGGUCAGAUCUGACGGUCGGAUUUAUUUUUCUCAAGUUUGAUCAUCACAAUCACAACAUGCAUACUAAUGUUGUAUAACUUGUUUACCGUGUUAUGUAAAUGUUCCGUUUCAAAAACAAACUAUACGUAAACCUUCAAACGACCAAAAAGUCAUAGAAAUAAGAUAUGACGAGAAUGUUAGAAAUACAUCCACGGUUAGAAAAAUCACACUAUUACCGGUAAAUAUUCGGUGCCGAUUAGUUGCGGUCAAUGCUAAUUUUCUAUUUUUUCCCACUAUGAGUACGCCCUAUAUUCGGUGGUUUAUUUUGCGUUAAAAUUUUUAUACGACUUGUUGCGUGUCAUCGGUUUAAAACUAUUUUCAGUUGGAGGUCCGGCCAAAAUACGUAAUUUAGACGGUCGAACGACCUUUUCCGUGCGUUUAGGGGUUUGACUUACGAGAUUGACCGUCCGGAUCGAGCCCUUAUUCUUUUCGGAUCAAGUUGAAUUUUUUCCCAUACAUGUAUUUUAUCAUGAUGGUCAAAUCUGACGGUCGGAUUUCUGUUUCUCA
rnacentral:lncRNA from 1 species